rnacentral:rRNA from 1 species
AAUCAACGCUGGCGGCGUGCCUCAGACAUGCAAGUCGAACGCGAAAGGCCCCUUCGGGGGCCGAGUAGAGUGGCGCACGGGUGAGUAACACGUGGGUAAUCUACCUCUGAGUGGGGAAUAACAGUCGGAAACGGCUGCUAAUACCGCAUAAUGCAGCGGCACCACAUGGUGACAGUUGUUAAAGCGGGGGAUCGUAAGACCUCGCGCCUAGAGAGGAGCCCGCGGCGGAUUAGCUAGUUGGUAGGGUAACGGCCUACCAAGGCGACGAUCCGUAGCCGGCCUGAGAGGGCGGACGGCCACACUGGGCACUGACAUACGGGCCAGACUCCUACGGGAGGCAGCAGUCGGGAAUUUUGGGCAAUGGGCGCAAGCCUGACCCAGCAACGCCGCGUGAAGGAUGAAGCUUCUCGGAGUGUAAACUUCAUAAGAAUGGGACGAAUAAGUGGGGGAU